UGAGGAAUAUUGGUCAAUGGGGCGGGGAGGCCUGAACCAGCCAAGCCGCGUGAGGGAAGAAGGUACAGCGUAUCGUAAACCUCUUUUGUCAGGGAACAAAGGCGGGGGAC
rnacentral:rRNA from 1 species